rnacentral:rRNA from 1 species
UGGGGAAUAUUGGACAAUGGGCGCAAGCCUGAUCCAGCCAUGCCGCGUGAGUGAUGAAGGCCUUAGGGUUGUAAAGCUCUUUCGCCGGUGAAGAUAAUGACGGUAACCGGAGAAGAAGCCCCGGCUAACUUCGUGCCAGCAGCCGCGGUAAUACGAAGGGGGCAAGCGUUGCUCGGAAUCACUGGGCGUAAAGCGCACGUAGGCGGGUCGUUAAGUCAGAGGUGAAAGCCUGGAGCUCAACUCCAGAACUGCCUUUGAUACUGGCGACCUCGAGUUCGAGAGAGGUUGGUGGAACUCCGAGUGUAGAGGUGAAAUUCGUAGAUAUUCGGAAGAACACCAGUGGCGAAGGCGGCCAACUGGCUCGAUACUGACGCUGAGGUGCGAAAGCGUGGGGAGCAAACAGG